GAUGAACGCUGGCGGCGUGCCUAAUACAUGCAAGUCGAGCGAACAGACGAGGAGCUUGCUCCUCUGACGUUAGCGGCGGACGGGUGAGUAACACGUGGAUAACCUACCUAUAAGACUGGGAUAACUUCGGGAAACCGGAGCUAAUACCGGAUAAUAUAUUGAACCGCAUGGUUCAAUAGUGAAAGACGGUUUUGCUGUCACUUAUAGAUGGAUCCGCGCCGCAUUAGCUAGUUGGUAAGGUAACAGCUUACCAAGGCAACGUUGCGUAGCCGACCUGAGAGGGUGAUCGGCCACACUGGAACUGAGACACGGUCCAGACUCCUACGGGAGGCAGCAGUAGGGAAUCUUCCGCAAUGGGCGAAAGCCUGACGGAGCAACGCCGCGUGAGUGAUGAAGGUCUUCGGAUCGUAAAACUCUGUUAUUAGGGAAGAACAAAUGUGUAAGUAACUAUGCACGUCUUGACGGUACCUAAUCAGAAAGCCACGGCUAACUACGUG
rnacentral:rRNA from 1 species